rnacentral:rRNA from 1 species
UACAGAGGUCCCGAGCGUUGUUCGGAUUCACUGGGCGUAAAGGGUGCGUAGGUGGCCUAAAAAGUUUGAUGUGAAAGCUCAGGGCUUAACCCUGAAAUGGCAUUGAAUACUGUUGGGCUGGAGGUUUGGAGGGGGGACUGGAAUUCUUGGUGUAGCAGUGAAAUGCGUAAAUAUCAAGAGGAACACCAGUGGCGAAGGCGAGUCCCUGGACAACACCUGACACUGAGGCACGAAAGCCGGGGGAGCAAACAGG